rnacentral:rRNA from 1 species
UGGGGAAUUGUUCGCAAUGGGCGCAAGCCUGACGACGCAACGCCGCGUGGAGGAUGAAGAUCUUCGGGUCGUAAACUCCUGUCGAGCGGGACGAACACUUAUUCGGUUAAUACCUGGAUAGGCUGACGGUACCGCUAAAGGAAGCCCCGGCUACCUCCGUGCCAGCAGCCGCGGUAAUACGGGGGGGGCAAGCGUUGUUCGGAAUUACUGGGCGUAAAGGGCUCGUAGGCGGCCAACUAAGUCGGACGUGAAAUCCCCAGGCUCAACCUGGGAACUGCGUCCGAUACUGGAUGGCUUGAAUCCGGGAGAGGGAUGCAGAAUUCCAGGUGUAGCGGUGAAAUGCGUAGAUAUCUGGAGGAAUACCGGUGGCGAAGGCGGCAUCCUGGACCGGCAUUGACGCUGAGGAGCGAAAGCCAGGGGAGCAAAC